AGAAGCGAGAAUGUUGACAUGAGUAGCGACAAACAGGGUGAGAAACCCUGUCGCCGAAAGUCCAAGGGUUCCUGCUUAAAGCUAAUCUGAGCAGGGUAAGCCGGCCCCUAAGGCGAGGCCGAAAGGCGUAGUCGAUGGGAACCAGGUUAAUAUUCCUGGGCCAGGAGGAUGUGACGGAUCUCGAGGAUUGUCUGCCCUUAUCGGAUUGGGUGGGCCGUUUAGAGGUUCCUGGAAAUAGCCCUCCAUCAGACCGUACCCUAAACCGACACAGGUGGACUGGUAGAGUAUACCAAGGCGCUUGAGAGAACCACGUUAAAGGAACUCGGCAAAAUGCUCCUGUAAGUUCGCGAGAAGGGAGCCCCGUCUGUACGCAAGUAUGGGCGGGGGGCACAAACUAGGGGGUGGCGACUGUUUACUUAAAACACAGGGCUGUGCUAAGCCGUAAGGCGACGUAUACAGUCUGACGCCUGCCCGGUGCUGGAAGAUUAAGAGGAGGGGUGCAAGCUCUGAAUUGAAGUCCCAGUAAACGGCGGCCGUAACUAUAACGGUCCUAAGGUAGCGAAAUUCCUUGUCGGGUAAGUUCCGACCUGCACGAAUGGCGUAACGAUCUCCCCGCUGUCUCUAACGUGGACUCAGCGAAAUUGAACUGUGUGUCAAGAUGCACACUACCCGCGGUUAGACGGAAAGACCCCAUGAACCUUUACUCCAGCUUUGCACUGGUAUCAGGAUUGUGAUGUGCAGGAUAGGUGGUAGGCAUCGAAGCGGGGACGCCAGUUCCCGUGGAGCCUCCCUUGAGAUACCACCCUUCGCCAUCUUGAUAUCUAACCGCGGCCCGUUAUCCGGGUCCGGGACCCUGCAUGGUGGGGAGUUUGGCUGGGGCGGUCGCCUCCCAAACAGUAACGGAGGCGCGCGAUGGUUGGCUCAGACCGGUCGGAAAUCGGUCGUUGAGUGCAAUGGCAGAAGCCAGCCUGACUGCAAGACUGACAAGUCGAGCAGAGACGAAAGUCGGUCAUAGUGAUCCGGUGGUCCCAAGUGGGAGGGCCAUCGCUCAACGGAUAAAAGGUACUCUGGGGAUAACAGGCUGAUGAUGCCCAAGAGUCCAUAUCGACGGCAUCGUUUGGCACCUCGAUGUCGGCUCAUCUCAUCCUGGGGCUGGAGCAGGUCCCAAGGGUAUGGCUGUUCGCCAUUUAAAGAGGUACGUGAGCUGGGUUUAGAACGUCGUGAGACAGUUCGGUCCCUAUCUGCCGUGGGUGCAGGAGACUUGAGAAGAGUUGACCCUAGUACGAGAGGACCGGGUUGAACGAACCACUGGUGGACCAGUUAUCGUGCCAACGGUAGUGCUGGGUAGCUAUGUUCGGACAGGAUAACCGCUGAAGGCAUCUAAGCGGGAAGCCCCCUUCAAAACAAGGUCUCCCUUGAGGGCCGUGGAAGACCACCACGUCGAUAGGCCAGAGGUGUAAGCGCAGCAAUGCGUUCAGCUGACUGGUACUAAUUGCUC
rnacentral:rRNA from 1 species